rnacentral:misc_RNA from 1 species
AGAUUUUCUUGGUGUGGGAAUCUCUUAAUUAUGAGCUUCAACAUAAUUAAUCUUGGUAUCAUCUUCUCAAUUUUCCUCUAUUAUCUAUAUGAAAUUUAGCAAGGAGAGGAGAUGCAGCUAGCUAGGUACAUUUUGUUUUUUCACCCAUGAUUUUAGAACUUUGGUUAUGGCCUUUUGUUUUCUUUUUGUUUUCUUUGUUUUCUCAUUUCCCCCAAAAUUGUCAGAUGAACUCACACGAUAAAAAGAAGUGAUUAUGUAUUAUUUGAUCGCUAGAGGAAGGAGGAUAAUAUA